AUUGAACGCUGGCGGCAGGCCUAACACAUGCAAGUCGAGCGGAUGAAGGGAGCUUGCUCCUGGAUUCAGCGGCGGACGGGUGAGUAAUGCCUAGGAAUCUGCCUGGUAGUGGGGGAUAACGUCCGUAAACGGGCGCUAAUACCGCAUACGUCCUGAGGGAGAAAGUGGGGGAUCUUCGGACCUCACGCUAUCUGAUGAGCCUAGGUCGGAUUAGCUAGUUGGUGGGGUAAAGGCCUACCAAGGCGACGAUCCGUAACUGGUCUGAGAGGAUGAUCAGUCACACUGGAACUGAGACACGGUCCAGACUCCUACGGGAGGCAGCAGUGGGGAAUAUUCGACAAUGGGCGAAAGCCUGAUCCAGCCAUGCCGCGUGUGUGAAGAAGGUCUUCGGAUUGUAAAGCACUUUAAGUUGGGAGGAAGGGCAGUAAGAUAAUACCUUGCUGUUUUGACGUUACCAACAGAAUAAGCACCGGCUAACUUCGUG
rnacentral:rRNA from 1 species